UAGACAGAAGCCUGCUGGUUUUAGGCAUUUAACUGUUAAUUAAGGUGUUAUGGGAUCGAGGCCCAUCUGUCUAG
rnacentral:tRNA from 1 species